UACGUAACUUACAAUAAACAUCACGUUUUAAUGUUAAUAAUCGUUUUGAUUGCUAUUAGAAUAUUAUUUGAAUUAAUUAUAAUGUUAAUGUGAUUUGAUUGAACAUUCUUGUGGCAUUUAUUUUUACAUGAUUUUGGACAGUAGUCAAAUAAAUUAACAUUUAUUAAGUUUUAUACACGCUUAAACCACGUCUGCACUAUCACUCAACAUCUUAAGCGUUUAGUUAGCGAAAAUUUAUCUAUGACCAACUGUUAAAUAAGACGCUAAAAUUAGUUUGAAGUUGAUUCCUCACCAAUGUUGCAAAUACUAGUUUAAUCAAAGAUCAUAAUAUCGUAGUAUCUAUCCAUGCUUAAAGACGACUGCCUGUUUAUUGUAAUUUUAAUAAAUAUUCCACAAUAUUAUUUUAUAUAACAUAACUCUACUAUAAAACGUGUUGUUAAUGAGUUACUAUUGAGAGCCUUGUCUUGAAAUCAGUUAUUACCAGACGAUAAAAGUUUUAGAUCGCUAUUAAUGCCGAUAACAUUAUUAUGUAGUAUAUAUAUAGUCAAGGUAAAUAUAAAAACCUGUUCAGCUUCAGUGAAGUAACAGUUCCCUUUGCGGGGAUUUACGUAGCUUCUUCUAAAUGCCAACAGUUACAAAGUUAAACAUGAAUUGGGAAUUAAAAAAUUGUUUAUUAGAUUAUGGUUAUUAUAAUUUCCUUAAAUUCAUAUUUUUUUUAUUACAAAAACUCAUGAAAGUACUAAGAACAUUAUUAUAUAUUCGUGUCGAUAAACAUUUGUUAAAUUCCGUUCGAAAAUGUAGACCAAGGUUUUAAAACUUGUGUGGAUUUUUAAUGUGGUUUGAUUAAAAGCAGUUUUUAUUUGAAAAAAAUGUAUAACAGCUUGUCUCUUGGGUUUGAUGUACAUAAUAAAGAAAAAGGUCGUCCUUUGGGUAUACCUCGUCGUGGAAACCGAGCAAUUUAGAUUUGAAUAUUUUUAUUUACCUAAUCCUAUUUUAUCUAUAUUUAUGAUAACAUCUGUGUUACUGUAAUGUUUUUUAAUGAAAAUGUUUUUCGAAUAAGAUGCGUAUGCAUAUCUAAUAUGCUUUUAAUAUUUUUUUUAUAUAGUUUUUGUUAUAAUAUAUUUGAGGUAACUACUGUCUUGUCACCGUUAUAAUUUUGAGGUAUAAGACCUAAGUGUUUUGUUUAUUUUUAAGGUGUGAAGUACGAGUUUCUCCCCUCAGUUUUUGAGCAGAACGCUCUCAUCAGUUAGCGAUCGGAAGAAUGCUAAUGCGUUUGAGAUCUUUAUCGGUCUUUGAAUAACUGUUAUUUUAAAUAUGAGAUGUAUAAACUAUACAUUGUAUUUUUAUCGUUUUAUUUUAUUACAGAGAGGAUGUGAAGCAACAAAACCACUGGUGAUCCUUAUUCAUUGUAUGAAAUAUCUUACAGCGAAUAUCACGUGACUGGAAGACAUUAAGCUUUCUGCAGCUCGUGGAUUGAUUAACCCAUGAACUGGCCAAGAACUAGGACCACAUCAAUCACGGUAAGCUGUAUGAAGAGUGACGUCAUAAAAAUAUAAAAUUCGUUUUAUAGAAGAAUAAUCCCGUAACGGCUAACAGUCGUUAAGCUUAUCUGAUAAGGAGACCUACAAAUAAUGGACCAAACAAAUCUUUUGUUAUUUCAAAUACUACAUUAUUGAAUAGACAAUAAGUUUGUUUUCGAUAAAUAAUUAAUGUGAUAUAGCCU